AUCAUUUAAAAAGUGCGUAAUAGCUUACUAGCCGAGUACUUUUGUGCCGAAAAUUAGCGGGACUAAAGCUCAUUACCGAAACUAUGGAUCCUAAUCUUUUAGGAUGGUAGGGGAGCGUUCUAUGAUAGGUUGAAGCCUUACAAAAAUGAGAGGUGGACGAAAUAGAAGUGAGAAUGCCGGUAUAAGUAGCGAUAAUAUAAGUGAGAAUCUUAUUCGCCGAAAGCCUAAGGUUUCCUGGGGAAGGUAAAUCCGCCCAGGGUUAGCCGGUACCUAAGUCGAGGUCGAAAGGCGUAGACGAUGGACAACAGGUUAAUAUUCCUGUGCUGCUAUUUAACGUUUGAGCUUGGGAGGACGUGGACACAACGAUUAGCAAACCCAGUAGACAUGGUUUGUUCAAGCUGGAGGCACCGCUCUAGGAAAAUCCGGAGCAAUAAGGUGUCGAAAGCGAGUACGUUGGCUCUUGGCCUAGAAGUAAUCUGAGUGUCUUCCAAGAAAAGUCUCGUUAGCGAGUUAACAUGGCAACCGUACUAAAACUGACACAGGUAGGCAAGGAGAGAAUCCUAAGGCGCUCGAGAGAACCCUCGUUAAGGAAUUCGGCAAACAUACUCCGUAACUUCGGGAUAAGGAGUGCCUUUUUAACUUCGGUUAAAAAGGUCGCAGUGAAAAAGGUCCGGGCGACUGUUUACUAAAAACACAGGUCUCUGCUAAAAUGUAUAAUUGAUGUAUAGAGACUGACGCGUGCUCGAUGCCAGAAAGUUAAGGGGAUAGGUUAUUUCCUGAGCAAUCAGGAGAGAAGCUUGGAACUGAAGCUCUGGUGAAUGGCGGCUCUAACUAUGAGAGUCCUAAGGUAGCGAAGUUCCUUGUCGGGUAAUUUCCGACGCGCAUGAAUCGCGUAACGACCUGGACACUGUCUCAACGAGGGACUCGGCGAAAUUGUAGUUGUGGUGAAGAUGCCACAUACCCGCGGAAAGACGGAAAGACCCCGUGAACCUUUACUGUAGCUUAUUAUUGGAUUUUGGCGCAGUAUGUGUAGGAUAGGUGGGAGACGAGGAAGUUUCGACGUAAGUUGGAAUGGAGUCAAUGGUGAAAUACCACUCUUACUUUGUUAAAAUUCUAAAGGAAUACCGUGAAUCCGGGUUCUUGACAGUGGUAAGUGGGCAGUUUGACUGGGGCGGUCUCCUCCAAAAAAGUAACGGAGGAGUCCAAAGGCUCCCUCAAUGCGGUUGGCAACCGCAUGUAGAGUGUAAAGGCAUAAGGGAGCUUAACUGCGAGACCCAUAAGUCGAGCAGGUGUGAAAGCAGGGCUUAGUGAUCCGGCGGUUUCUGAGUGGAAAGGCCGUCGCUCAACAGAUAAAAGGUACUCCGGGGAUAACAGGCUGAUCUCCUCCGAGCGUUCAUAGCGGCGAGGAGGUUUGGCACCUCGAUGUCGGCUCAUCGCAUCCUGGGGCUGAAGAAGGUCCCAAGGGUUUGGGAGUUCACCAAUUAAAGCGGUACGCGAGCUGGGUUUAGACCGUCGUGAGACAGGUCGGUCCCUAUCUUCCGUGGGCGUACGAUAUUUGAGAAAAUCUGCCUCUAGUACGAGAGGAUCGAGGUGGACGAACCUAUGGUGAGUCAGUUGUUGUGCUAACAGCAUGGCUGAGUAGCUAAGUUCGGAAAGGAUAAACGCUGAAAGCAUAUAAGCGUGAAGCCUGCUUUAAGACUAGAUAUCGUUCUCUAAUUUAUUAGGGUGAAGACAUCUUAAAGACUAUGAGAUUGAUAGGCCAGGUGUGUAAGUCCGGUAACGGAUUCAGCUAACUGGUACUAAUUUGUCGAAAAGCUUGAUCA
rnacentral:rRNA from 1 species